AACGUAGGAGACAAACGUUAUCCGGAGUUACUGGGCGUAAAGGGCGUGUAGGUGGUUUCGUAAGUCUGGCGUGAAAUUUUUCGGCUUAACCGGGAAAGGUCGUCGGAUACUGCGGGACUAGAGGACGGUAGAGGCGUGUGGAAUUUCGGGUGUAGUGGUGAAAUGCGUAGAGAUCCGGAGGAACACCAGUGGCGAAGGCGACACGCUGGGCCGUACCUGACACUGAUGCGCGACAGCAUGGGGAGCAAACAGG
rnacentral:rRNA from 1 species